UUUACACCAAUUGGACGUGAAGAAUGCCUUUCUUCAUGGUGAUCUCACUGAAGAUAUAUAUAUGCGACCACCAGCAGGCUUAUUUUCCACUCCUACCUCUGCUGUGUGUAAGUUACGCCGCUCCUUGUAUGGUCUCAAACAAGCUCCUCGUGCUUGGUAUGAGAGAUUUACUUCUAUCCUUCUUCAAUUUGAUUUCCUCAAAAGUAAAUAUGAUGCAUCUUUGUUUCUACGUAAGACUGCACAUGGAGUUGUGUUUCUAUUGGUGUAUGUUGAUAAUAUAGUUAUCACCGGUACUGAUUUAGCUCUGAUUGAUCAACUAAAGCAACAUUUGCAGAAAUCCUUCCACAUGAAGGAUCUAGGUCCUCUAACAUAUUUUCUUGGUCUAGAGAUUCAUGCUGGUUCACAUGGCAUAUUUUUAUCCCAACACAAGUAUGCCAUGGACUUGGUGACAGCUGCUGGUCUCCAGAAUUCGCCACCCCUUGAUACUCCAAUGGAAAUUAAUCUCAAGCUAUGCAAAGAUGAGGGUGAUUUAUUAUCAGACCCGGCAGCAUAUCGUACACUCGUGGGCAGCUUGAUCUAUCUUACAAACACUAGACCUGAUAUUUCUUAUGCAGUACAAUAGGUUAGUCAGUUCAUGGCUGCUCCAAGAGACCUCC